rnacentral:lncRNA from 1 species
GAACCGGACAGGACCCAGGGCGGCUCUGGACACGGUGCGGACAGCCAAGCGCGCUCCUGGGGCCCGACCGGGAUCCUUCCACACUUGCGGCCGGGCUUUCUCCGAGCCACCUGGAAAGGCGAUACCUGCUAACUAACGCGGAAAUGACCGAGGAGAAAUUUCUAGCAGAAUCCUCCGCAGCUCCCUGGAGAACUCACAGCAAGAUAGUGGAAAAGCCAGGGGCGAACCCAGGACUCUCGGCGCACUUUCUCACGUUUUUGCUUUUGUGACAAGGCAUCUAUGAGCAAGAGUAAAUGG